GCCUCGGGGUGAGCGCAGACCAGUUCCUGCACCCCGCGGCCCGGGAGCAGACCCUGAGCCAGGCGGGCUGCGGGCCCCCAUCCCGGUCGCCGGGGAGGAGCGGACGGGGCUCGGCGGGGCCCGGAGCCCGGAGGAGCAGCCCGGGCCAGGCCGGGGCGGAGACAACCGGCCCUCUGGCCGCAGCUGCCGAUCCCACUGCGAGGACAGAGGUUUUUAAAUCUUCACCUUGGAAAUGCGAGCUUUCCAAAACAGACAGCUCGGACACAGCGGUUCCUUUAGAGAGUGCUGGUCCGGGGCGGGGACGCAGACGAGGGCCGGUGCGGGAGGCUGGAUCAGUCGGGGACCAGAACCCAGCCUGUCCUCGGUGCACCGAACCCAAACUGGACCCAGGUCCCGCCCUCAGUCUCAGAACCCAAUGAAGUUUGCUGACCAAGGCCUCAGUUUGUAUUUUUUCCUAAAGACACUAUAAUUGGGAAAUUCUGCUUAAGACAUUUAGAAGCAGGUAAUCCCUGAACUCCAGUGGGAAGUUUGCUUAGCUACAGGGUGCGGUGUCCUGCCCAGCAUCAGCAGCACGGAGGCAGGAAGACAGGAGACUGGCUAGCCACAAAGGCCAGGACUUCUCAUCUCAAGUCUGACUCCCAGAAGCCACAGAAAAUGAAACUCCCCCCAAACCCCGGUCUUUGCCUCCAGAGUUGGGCCGCAGUGACCAGUGGUCAGCAGGCAAGAAUUUCCAGCUCAUUGUCCACCUGCUGAGGAAAUGGAGGGAUCUCCGGGUGGUAGACUUAAUGUCACUGAAACACGCCUCAAGGAUCCCAGCUAAUUGGAGACCAGAUCCUUUUAGGAAGAUACGAAUGGAACUCUGAAAUUUAAACCAGUAUUACAAUGAUAUAGGGGAAAGAGAUAUAAACCUGCUAGAUAUCCAAAGCGCAAGUUUGUGUUCUCUAAAAUCAAAGAAUGAAUUCUAGGAACAACGGCGGGUAAGAGUAGGAAAAAUUUAUUGAGAGAAAGAUAGCUUCUGCCUAAGAGAGACAGAAGGGGGACCGGGAAGUGGGUUGCCCAGGGACCCCGUUUCCUAGGGGGUUUAUGGAGCAAAGCCACGAGCUGAGGCGGGUUCAAGGUGGGACAAAAUUAUAGUCAACUAGGCAGAUUACAAAUACAAUCGUUUAGGGAAUAUUGAUCCAGUGGGGAAUCACAGGCGGGUAUGAGGUGGGGCAAAACUAUGAUCAACCAAUAAGAUUACAAGAAUAGUUGCUUAGGUAAUAUUGAUUAAAUGGGGAGCCAGUGGGGAAGCAAGUCACAUGGUAAGCGUACAAGGACGGAGCAAGGAUUCUCAGUAAGGGAUGGGUUAAGGUCUUGGUCCUACACCCAGGGAAUUGAUACCUAUGUAGAAUAUCAAUCACUGCUAUCCAGCCCUAGACAAAGUACAGGAAUGUAGUAGUUUGUUUUUAUAAUGCUAACCUCCAGUGAAAGUGUCUCCAUUGUCCUUUUUUUUUUUGAGAUAGGGUUUCACUAUGUAGUUCAGGCUGGCCUUGAACUCACAGCGAUCCUCCUGCCUAAGCCUCCAAAGUGCUGGGAUUACAGGUGUGUGCCACCAUGCCUGGCUCCAUUGUCCUUCAUAUUGACUCCUGGAGGGCCAACCCUGUCUAACUGCCUACAAGAUAUCUAAUUAACUUACCUAUCUACAAUAUUAAUACAUUCAGAAAACCAAAUAUACAAAUCUAGCUACAGUUAUAAGGUUCAUGAGGCAAGUAAUUUUUUCCUUUUCUUCCCUGAUUAUAAAAACAAUUCAGUACAUAUCAAAAUAGAAUUACAGUAUAGAAAAUACUAAUUAUUCAUCUGGCAAUGAUAUGUGGAGAACUGAGGCAGGGUAGGAAAAUUAAAACUAGAGACAAGUAUAAAAGAUUAGCCCCUCACUCCCGC